GAUGAACGCUGGCGGCGUGCCUAAUACAUGCAAGUCGAGCGAACAGACGAGGAGCUUGCUCCUUUGACGUUAGCGGCGGACGGGUGAGUAACACGUGGGUAACCUAUCUAUAAGACUGGGAUAACUUCGUGAAACCGGAGCUAAUACCGGAUAAUAUUUCGAACCGCAUGGUUCGAUAGUGAAAGAUGGCUCUGCUAUCACUUUUAGAUGGACCUGCGCCGUAUUAGCUAGUUGGUAAGGUAACGGCUUACCAAGGCAACGAUACGUAGCCGACCUGAGAGGGUGAUCGGCCACACUGGAACUGAGACACGGUCCAGACUCCUACGGGAGGCAGCAGUAGGGAAUCUUCCGCAAUGGGCGAAAGCCUGACGGAGCAACGCCGCGUGAGUGAUGAAGGUCUUCGGAUCGUAAAACUCUGUUAUUAGGGAAGAACAAACGUGUAAGUAACUGUGCACGUCUUGACGGUACCUAAUCAGAAAGCCACGGCUAACUACGUG
rnacentral:rRNA from 1 species